CCUACGGGAGGCAGCAGUGGGGAAUAUUGGACAAUGGGGGGAACCCUGAUCCAGCCAUGCCGCGUGUGUGAAGAAGGCCCUCGGGUUGUAAAGCACUUUCAGUGAGGAAGAACGCCUGGUGGUUAAUACCCAUCAGGAAAGACAUCACUCACAGAAGAAGCACCGGCUAACUCCGUGCCAGCAGCCGCGGUAAUACGGAGGGUGCGAGCGUUAAUCGGAAUUACUGGGCGUAAAGCGCGCGUAGGUGGCUUGAUAAGCCGGUUGUGAAAGCCCCGGGCUCAACCUGGGAACGGCAUCCGGAACUGUCAAGCUAGAGUGCAGGAGAGGAAGGUAGAAUUCCCGGUGUAGCGGUGAAAUGCGUAGAGAUCGGGAGGAAUAACAGUGGCGAAGGCGGCCUUCUGGACUGACACUGACACUGAGGUGCGAAAGCGUGGGUAGCAAACAGGAUUAGAUACCCUUGUAGUC
rnacentral:rRNA from 1 species